rfam:Rhizobacter gummiphilus strain NS21, complete genome.
CUGGGUGGCCGCAAGCCACCCGGUGCCCCGGCAGUACCUGACACGGCUGCCGG